CUAAAAACAAUAAACAACCCAGAUGUCCUAAACGGGUGGAGAAGCUGUGGUACCUUCACGCAAUGGAAUUCUACUCAGCAUUAAAAAGGAAUGAAUCACUGAUGCAGGCAGCAACAAGGAAGAAUCCCAAAUAGCCAAGGCCACAGCCUAGAAACUUCUCCUUGGAGGCUAAGCCUGCAGCACCCAGCUGAGCACAGAGGACAAUCUGAGGAGCUAAGUGACUGGCUGGACACUCCAUUAUUCUGGAUUCUCCACCCCAUGUGGAAGUUUGAGGCCCACCCGUGGUCCUGCCCUCCUCCCCGCUGCAGCAUCUGACCUCCAGGCAUGCCCCAUCAUUCCUCUCCAGACACCAGGAUCUGCCUCACAGGAGACCCCAUGCUGGUCCUGCCAUUCGCCGCAUGGCCUGUCACAUACCAUAGACGUCUCCUCCUCUGACCCCCAGCCCUAGGGGCCCCCACUCCAUGGCUUGCCUGGUCUUCCCACAGCCCAGAACUGCUCCGCUUCAGAAGCUGUGGCCUCCACCGCCCCUCCCCAUCAC